rnacentral:misc_RNA from 1 species
UCUCCGUAGGUGACCCUGCGGAGGGAUCAUUACUGAGUGAGGGCCAUCCGGCUCGAACUCCAACCCUUUGUGAACACAACUUGUUGCUUCGGGGGCGACCCUGCCGUUUCGACGGCGAGCGCCCCCGGAGGCCUUCAAACACUGCAUCUUUGCGUCGGAGUUAAAGUAAAUUAAACAAAACUUUCAGCAACGGAUCUCUUGGUUCCAGCAUCGAUGAAGAACGCAGC